rnacentral:rRNA from 1 species
GUGUCAGCAGCCGCGGUAAUACAGAGGGUGCAAGCGUUAAUCGGAAUGACUGGGCGUAAAGGGCGCGUAGGUGGUUAAUUAAGUUAGAUGUGAAAUCCCUGGGCUUAACCUGGGAACUGCAUUUAAUACUGGUUGGCUUGAGUAGGGUAGAGGGAAGUGGAAUUUCCGGUGUAGCGGUGAAAUGCGUAGAUAUCGGAAGGAACACCAGUGGCGAAGGCGGCUUCCUGGACCCAUACUGACACUGAGGCGCGAAAGCGUGGGGAGCAAACAGGAUUAGAAACCCUGGUAGUCC